rnacentral:rRNA from 1 species
GAUGAACGCUGGCGGCGUGCUUAACACAUGCAAGUCGAACGAUGAAGCCCAGCUUGCUGGGUGGAUUAGUGGCGAACGGGUGAGUAACACGUGAGUAACCUGCCCUUAACUCUGGGAUAAGCCUGGGAAACUGGGUCUAAUACCGGAUAGGAGCGUCCACCGCAUGGUGGGUGUUGGAAAGAUUUAUCGGUUUUGGAUGGACUCGCGGCCUAUCAGCUUGUUGGUGAGGUAAUGGCUCACCAAGGCGACGACGGGUAGCCGGCCUGAGAGGGUGACCGGCCACAAGGGGACUGAGACACGGCCCAGACUCCUACGGGAGGCAGCAGUGGGGAAUAUUGCAUAAUGGGCGCAAGCCUGAUGCAGCGACGCCGCGUGAGGGAUGACGGCCUUCGGGUUGUAAACCUCUUUCAGUAGGGAAGAAGCGAAAGUGACGGUACCUGCAGAAGAAGCACCGGCUAACUACGUG